GGGUCGUUAGCUCAAUUGGUAGAGCUGCGGACUUUUAAUCCGUAGGUUCCGGGUUCGAGCCCCGGGCGACCCACCA
rnacentral:tRNA from 1 species